rnacentral:tRNA from 1 species
GCGAAGGUGGCGGAAUUGGUAGACGCGCUAGCUUCAGGUGUUAGUGUCCUACGGGACGUGGGGGUUCGCCCCCUCGCACCA